rnacentral:lncRNA from 1 species
GACGUGAGGCGACAAGAUGGCGGUGAGCAUGUCUAGAUCGUGGAAAGCAGGGCCGCGGGAUCGAGGGUCUGUGGAAGCGAGAGCAGAAAGACUGAAAGGAGAGUGACGGACGCCCUAGAGUAGGGAGACAGGGUGCUGAAGGAUGGGAGCCACGUGGGACUGCAGACGGAAGCCAUGGGUACAGACCAGGUGACAUGAAAAACAGACGACCGACAUGAGGAUGCAGACGCGGAACGUGGGGGUUGCAGACCAGGCAGACAGGGGUGCGUACAGGAAACAGUGCAGAUGGGGUAUCCAGGGAUGCAGAUGAGGACGUGGGCAUGCAGACAGAAAUGCAGACUCGGGCAUAGCAUUCAAUUAGGCAGACACUGGAGGUGAGGAUGCACCCAGGGUUCUGGGAGCCUGAGUUGGAAAGGAGUCCCUGGGUGCCAUGCCCAGGCUACAGGGAUAUGGGGAGGCUGGACCUCUCUCCUCAGCGCCCCACCUCCCAGCAGGACAAAG